rnacentral:tRNA from 1 species
UUCUAGAUGGUUUAGUGGUAUAAUUCUUGCUUUGGGUUCUUCUCAACUGAAAUGCAAGAGGCCCUGGGUUCGAUUCCCAGUUCAGCCC